rnacentral:rRNA from 1 species
UACGGAGGAUGCAAGCGUUAUCCGGAUUUAUUGGGUUUAAAGGGUGCGCAGGUUGUUUGAUAAGUCAGUAGUGAAAGUCUGUCGCUUAACGGUAGGAUUGCCAUUGAUACUGUUGGACUUGAAUAUGGAUGAGGUGGGCGGAAUGUGUAGUGUAGCGGUGAAAUGCAUAGAUAUUACACAGAACACCGAUUGCGAAGGCAGCUUACUAAUCCAUCAUUGACGCUGAGGCACGAAAGCGUGGGGAUCAAACAGGA